rnacentral:rRNA from 1 species
UGGGGAAUCUUGCACAAUGGGCGAAAGCCUGAUGCAGCAACGCCGCGUGGGGGAUGAAGCUUCUCGGAGUGUAAACCCCUUUCGACCCGGAAGAAUGCCCGCAAGGGUUUGACGGUACGGGUAUAAGAAGCCCCGGCUAACUACGUGCCAGCAGCCGCGGUAAUACGUAGGGGGCCAGCGUUGCUCGGAAUUACUGGGCGUAAAGGGUCCGUAGGCGGUGUGGCAAGUCGGGAGUGAAAUCUCUGGGCUUAACCCAGAGGCUGCUUCCGAAACUGCCGUGCUAGAGUGUGAGAGAGGCGAGUGGAAUUGCGGGUGUAGCGGUGAAAUGCGUAGAUAUCCGCAGGAACAUCCGAGGCGAAAGCGGCUCGCUGGAUCACAACUGACGCUGAGGGACGAAAGCUAGGGGAGCAAACAGGAUUAGAUACCCCCGUAGUCC